rnacentral:rRNA from 1 species
CCUACGGGUGGCAGCAGUGGGGAAUAUUGGACAAUGGGGGGAACCCUGAUCCAGCCAUGCCGCGUGUGUGAAGAAGGCCCUCGGGUUGUAAAGCACUUUCAGUGAGGAAGAACGCCUGGUGGUUAAUACCCAUCAGGAAAGACAUCACUCACAGAAGAAGCACCGGCUAACUCCGUGCCAGCAGCCGCGGUAAUACGGAGGGUGCGAGCGUUAAUCGGAAUUACUGGGCGUAAAGCGCGCGUAGGUGGCUUGAUAAGCCGGUUGUGAAAGCCCCGGGCUCAACCUGGGAACGGCAUCCGGAACUGUCAAGCUAGAGGGCAGGAGAGGAAGGUAGAAUUCCCGGUGUAGCGGUGAAAUGCGUAGAGAUCGGGAGGAAUACCAGUGGCGAAGGCGGCCUUCUGGACUGACACUGACACUGAGGUGCGAAAGCGUGGGUAGCAAACAGGAUUAGAUACCCCAGUAGUC